UGAAAAGUGCGGGGAUGAGCUGUGGAUAGCGGAGAAAUUCCAAUCGAACUCGGAGAUAGCUGGUUCUCCCCGAAAUAGCUUUAGGGCUAGCCUCGAUUUAGAUUCAUGGGGGUAGAGCACUGAAUGGGCUAGGGGGCCACAAAGCUUACCGAACCCUAUCAAACUUCGAAUACCGGAUAAUUGAUGAUCGGGAGUCAGACAGUGUGAGAUAAGUUUCAUUGUCGAAAGGGAAACAGCCCAGAUCUACGACUAAGGUCCCAAAGUUCAAGUUAAGUGGAAAAGGAUGUGCAAUUGCGUAGACAACCAGGAUGUUGGCUUAGUAGCAGCCAUUCAUUCAAAGAGUGCGUAAUAGCUCACUGGUCGAGUGAUUGUGCGCCGAAAAUGUAACGGGGCUAAACUUGACACCGAAGUCUAGGCAGAAGGAAACUUCUGGGUAGGGGAGCAACGUGUACGGGCAGAAGCAGAAGCGGAAGCGACUGUGGACUGUACAGGAGAGAGAAUGCCGGCAUGAGUAGCGAGAGCAAAGUGAGAAUCUUUGCCGUCGAAAGCCUAAGGUUUCCUGAGGAAGGCUCGUCCUCUCAGGGUAAGUCGGGACCUAAGCCGAGGACAAUAGUCGUAGGCGAUGGACAAUCGGUUAAUAUUCCGAUACCGCCGAGCAACCGGAUGCAGUGACACAGAAGGAUAGGCAGAGCGUGGCGAUGGUAGACCACGUCCAAGCAGUGAGGCUGUUGUGUAGUGAAGUACGCACAACGUAAGGCUGGGCUGUGAUGGGGAACGAUUACGAUCGGUAAGCUGCUGAAUUCACGCUGGCGAGAAAAGCUGCUACGAAGCGAAGGCGCCCGUACCGCAAACCGACACAGGUAGGCGAGGAGAGAAUCCUAAGACGAGCGGGAGAACCCUUGUUAAGGAACUCGGCAAAAUGACCCCGUAACUUCGGGAGAAGGGGUGCCUCGAGAGAGGCCGCAGAGAAUAGGCCCAAGCGACUGUUUACCAAAAACACAGGUCUGUGCGAAGUAGAGAUACGACGUAUACGGGCUGACACCUGCCCAGUGCCGGAAGGUUAAGGGGAAAUGUUAGGGCAACCGAAGCAUGGAACUUAAGCCCCGGUGAACGGCGGCCGUAACUAUAACGGUCCUAAGGUAGCGAAAUUCCUUGUCGGGUAAGUUCCGACCCGCACGAAUGGUGUAACGAUUUGGGUACUGUCUCAACAAGGGACCCGGCGAAAUUGUAGUAUGUGUGAAGAUGCACAUUACCCGCGAUAGGACGGAAAGACCCCGUAGAGCUUUACUGUAGUUUAACAUUGGAUUCCGGUAACAUAUGCACAGGAUAGGUGGGAGGCGGAGAAGCAGUGAUUUCGGUUGCUGCAGAGCCGACGUUGGGAUACCACUCUUGUGUUACUGGGGUUCUAACCUGUGGCCGUGAUCCGGCACAGGAACAGUGUUAGAUGGGCAGUUUGACUGGGGCGGUCGCCUCCAAAAGAGUAACGGAGGCGUCCAAAGGUUCCCUCAGAAUGGUUGGAAACCAUUCGAAGAGUACAAAGGCAGAAGGGAGCCUGACUGCGAGACCGACAGGUCGAGCAGGGACGAAAGUCGGGCUUAGUGAUCCGGCGGUAUAGAGUGGAAUUGCCGUCGCUCAACGGAUAAAAGCUACCUCGGGGAUAACAGGCUUAUCUCCCCCAAGAGUCCACAUCGACGGGGAGGUUUGGCACCUCGAUGUCGGCUCGUCGCAUCCUGGGGCUGGAGUAGGUCCCAAGGGUUUGGCUGUUCGCCAAUUAAAGCGGCACGCGAGCUGGGUUCAGAACGUCGUGAGACAGUUCGGUCCCUAUCCAUCGUGGGCGCAGGAGAUUUGAGAAGAGCUGUCCUCAGUACGAGAGGACCGGGAUGGACGCACCAAGGGUGUAUCAGUUGUCACGCCAGUGGCACAGCUGGGUAGCCAAGUGCGGAUCGGAUAAACGCUGAAGGCAUCUAAGCGUGAAGCCGACUUCAAGAUAAGAUCUCCCAUCCGCAAGGAGUAAGGCCCCAUGUAGACCACAUGGUUGA
rnacentral:rRNA from 1 species